UUUGCUUCUCUUGUUAUCAAACAUGUACUUUUCUGAACAAAAAAUAUCUUCUUAUCAGCUUAAUAUCUGAUACGUCCCCUACAUGGGGACCAGAAUAUAAAACUGAUUUCUGAACACUGGCGGGACUACUGGACCUUGCUCCUGCCCUGCCGCGGGUUGGCCUAGCAUAGCACUACAGCCAGGAUCGGCCUAUUUUUU